rnacentral:rRNA from 1 species
UACGAAGGGGGCUAGCGUUGCUCGGAAUCACUGGGCGUAAAGGGUGCGUAGGCGGGUCUUUAAGUCAGGGGUGAAAUCCUGGAGCUCAACUCCAGAACUGCCUUUGAUACUGAGGAUCUUGAGUUCGGGAGAGGUGAGUGGAACUGCGAGUGUAGAGGUGAAAUUCGUAGAUAUCCGGAGGAACACCGGUGGCGAAGGCGGCUUCCUGGACCGACACUGACGCUGCGGCGCGAAAGCUAGGGGAGCAAACGGG